UGGUGUGUCGUCAUCAAAUGACCUUUGACUGUCGUUACCAUCGUUACUAAUUAAAAAAGGAGGAGUGACCCAACAAUUCGCCGUGCGUCGUUGUCCAGCUAAAAAGGAAGACCAAAGGAAGGCCUGUCGAACUCUUGUGUUGUUUGUGGAGAGGGAUGAAUUUGGCCAUCUUGUGUGUUUAUGGAGAAGACCAAAAGCUGCAAAGGCAAACAUUUCCAAUGGUAAAAACAGAGAGUUCGCAUGAUGGCCUUUUUCAGUUUUGUCAACUGGACGGCAGCUAGCGAGGGUCAGCGAGUUCUUGUCAUGAUGAGCCCUCGCCAGGUAAGCCAAAAUGGAAGACCAAAAACACAAAGAAAAUCAAUCACAGCAAGCCAGUCAAACCAGUCCUGUUGGGAAUGAACAUGGUCUUCUUGUGCCCAAACAGAGAAGACAGAACUGAAAAUUUGCACAUUUCCAUUGCUCCUAGAAUGAGCAAAUCAGCUGUGCAUCAUCUCUGGAAUUUGGGAAGGAAAUGACCGAAUAUGGAGGAUGAAGCCAGUUGAUGAAGAUAUCAAUUCAGUGACCACCAAGUGAAGCACUGCUGCCUGAACCCAUCAGAUAUCUGCUGUGAAGACUGCAUUCACGAACAGAUCUACUGCGACAGCUCAGAUGUUACGGCCCAUAAAAGAAACUUACCAACUGAACAACUGCAAGAUAGUGGUAGCCCAUACCUCCAACAACAUUCAACAGGAAUCAAUGGAAAGUCCAGUGCAACAAUUAUAAAUAAUAUUAUAUAUUGUUUAUUGAUUUACAGCACCCUAAAUGAUUUUGUUCCUCCAGGACAUCUACACCAGGUGGUUUGUGAAGAAAGCACGGAGGACCAUCAGACUCCAGCCACCCCAACCAUGGACUGCUUUCACCGUUACCAUCAACAGCACCCGCACCAGCAGACUGCGAGACAAGUUCUUUCCACAAGCAAUCAGACUGAACUGAACUCGUACCAGUAACACCACACACACCCCACCAACCUCUUAUGCACUGCACUCCAUCACUUACACUGACUGGACUCAGACUCACUAUUAUUCUGCACCCUGACAAUCUGUUUGCACUAAUUCAUACCGUACUGCACUGCAAAGGUAUAUGUGUACCGUGAUUAUUGUGUUUUAUUAUAGUUUUAAUUUCGUGCUCUCUGUAUAGUAUAAUAUUUACCAUAUGUUGUUCUCUACAUGUAUUGUAGCUUUAUAUAUAGCUUUAACUACAUAUGUUGAAUAUAUAUUCAAUAUGUUUCAUCCAUAACGUCAUGCUGCAGUUUGCACAGAAGACUUUCACCACCUGUACCUUCAUGGUAUUGUGACAAUAAAGUGAUUUGAUUUGAA